UCCCACUCACAAUAUUUUCAGUGCGACAGUGCAAGGAUUAAUGGUUGAAUUGGAUGCAGUCAUUGUACGGAUCUCCUGUUAUUGUUUACAUUUUGAAACAGCGUACGGACUCUACUUAAUGAGGGUGUCAUUUCCAGUGAACGUUAGGUUAUUAUUGAGUAAUUUUUUACCUCGUUUUUCAUGUUAGUAAAAUGCUUUGACAAGUAUAUCAAUCAAUGGUGAUGAAGUAACUAAUCUGCUAUGCUAACCAACACAGCUAGCUAACUAUAAUAGCCAGCUGACUGGCAACAAAAGCUAGCGAGUUAUUGCCGGGUCUAGUUAUCCACCUAACGCUACUGUAGUAAGCUAACUAACCGAUACAAUUGAUUGGUACCACAUUGUCAGUUUGUCCAUUGGAUAAAAUCAUCGUUUAUGUUGCUAGCUAGCUACCUGCCUAGGGAAUGUCAACGUUUGAGACCAGACAACAUCGUCAAUUUAGCUAGCUAGCGAAUUUAGCAAACGUUAGCUAGUUAACAUGGUCUCAAGUUGUAAUGACGUGCUAACAUGUUAAUGUUACAUAUGUUAUUUAAAUAGUUAUUUUCCUAGAGUUGGCAAUUUUAGCUUUUGGUGGGCUAACCGAAGCGCAGCUAGCUAUAGCUCUUGAUGGGUGUCUAAAAACUUGGAUCUCGAGGAUGUGAGCUGCAAAGGUCUAGGCAAGACCAGAGGAAAACACAGGGGUGCACAAUGUUUAGUGCAGCUCAGAGUUCCAAGUCUGAGUUCCUGGACAAAGCCAGGCAGGCGCGUGAGGAGAGGAAGGGGUACAAAGCAAGGGACAGAGCAGCCACCCUAAUUCAAGCGCUGGUGAGGAGAUUCCUCUGUCGCUGCAGACUCCAGAAACAAAUAAGGAAAGAAGUUGAUGACUUAUUCCAAGAUGCCGGGACCACAAAAAGAAACGCACUAUCCAUUUUUAAAAUUGCACGGAAGUUACUAUUCAUUUUUUGCCAAGAUGAUAAGUUGAGAUUUGAGAAGCUUUGUCGCUCCAUUCUUGGCAGCAUGGAUGUUGAAAAUGAGCCCAAAGUUUGGUAUGUGUCAUUGGCCCUUUCUAAAGACCUCACCAUCCCUUGGAUCAAGCAGAUUAAAGAUGUCCUGUGGAUCUCCUGUCAGUUCCUGAAAAAAUUAAAGCCUGACAUCAUGCAGGACAAUAAGCUGGUGACUCUGUACCUCACCAUGCUGGUGACCUUCACAGACACAUCAACCUGGAAGAUAGUGAGAGGGAAAGGCGAGGCCCUCAGACCAGCUUUGACCCGGAUCUGUGAGAACAUCAUGGGGCAUCUCAAUCAAAAGGGAUUUUAUUCAAUACUGCAGAUUCUACUCACCAACGGAUUGGCACGCUCCAGACCCUCUCUUACCAAGGGCACACUCACAGCAGUAUUCACGCUGGCAUUAAGACCUGUCAUUGCUGCUCACUUCUCUGACAACUUGCUGAGGUCUCUCCUUCUCCACAUCAUGUCUGUCCCAGCAGUUGUCUCCCACAUCUACACCAUCACCCCAGAGUGCAUGACCACCAUCCAGACCCAUGACCUCUUGAGGAAGUUCAUCCUGUUCCUUAGCCGCGAGGAGCAGUGUGCCGACAUCUGUGUCUGCCUGGAGGGGAGCCACACACUGUGCUUACUGGGCAACCUGAUUCACCUGGGCUACCUCAACGAGAAAGUACUGGAGGAGGAGGCCAACCACUUUGUGACGGAACUGACGGACAUGCUGUCCUACUGCCAGAGAUACGUGUCCCAGAAGAAAUCUAACCUCACCCACUGGCACCCUGUCCUGGGCUGGUUCUCCCAAACCGUAGACUACGGUCUGAAUGAGUCCAUGCCACUGGUCACGAAGCAGCUGCAGUACCUGUGGGGCAUGCCUGUGAUCUGGACGCUCUUCAGUGACGUCCUUAGCAAAAAGCUGGAGACCCAAGAUCCCACGCCUCCGCCGCAACCUACCACGUCCCAAAACAACCUGCCAGUCAAGAGUCUAUUCAAGCGGGCAUUUCAGAAGUCUGCCUCAGUGCGAAACAUCCUGAAGCCAGUUGGCGGGAGACGGGUGGACUCCGCAGAGGUUCAGAAAGUGUGCAGUAUCUGUGUACUGUACCAGACAGCCCUCACCACGCUCACCCAGAUACGAUUGCAAAUCCUCACUGGCCUAACCUACCUGGACGACCUGCUGCCUAAGCUGUGGGCCUUCAUCUGCGAACUAGGACCCCAAGGAGGGCUCAAGCUGUUCAUAGAGUGCCUGAACAACGACACAGAGGAGUCUAAGCAGCUGCUAGCCAUGCUCAUGCUGUUCUGCGACUGCUCCAGACACCUCAUCACGAUCCUGGAUGACAUUGAAGUUUACGAAGAGCAGAUCUCGUUUAAGACGGAAGAGCUCGUAACCAUCUCCUCGUUUCUCAACACGUUUGUUUACAAGAUGGUCUGGGAUGGUAUCUUAGAGAAUGCCACGGGAGAGAAGCUGGACCUGUUCCACAGCGUUCACGGCUGGCUGAUGGUGCUUUACGAGCGGGACUGCAGGAGGAGGUUCUCCCCUGAUGACAACUGGCUGCGCAAGGAUCUAAAGCCGAGCCUUUUGUUCCAAGAGCUGGAGAAGGGCAAGAGGAGAGCUCAGCUGUUACUUCAGUACAUCCCACACGUCAUUCCACACAAAAACAGGGUCCUGCUGUUCCGAAACAUUGUCACCAAGGAGAAGGAAACCUUGGGAUUGGUGGAGACCAGCUCCGCCUCUCCGCAUGUCACCCAUAUCACCAUUCGCCGCUCACGGAUGUUAGAGGAUGGUUAUGACCAGCUCCGCCGGUUGCCCGUCAACUCCAUCAAAGGUGUGAUCCGCGUGAAGUUUGUCAACGACCUGGGUGUGGACGAGGCCGGCAUCGACCAGGACGGCGUCUUCAAGGAGUUCCUGGAAGAGAUCAUCAAGAAAGUCUUCAAUCCGGCUCUCAACCUCUUUAAGACCACCAGUGGCAACGAGAGGCUCUACCCCUCCCCUACGUCCUACAUCCACGAGAACCACCUGCAGCUCUUUGAGUUUGUGGGGAAGAUGCUCGGCAAAGCCAUGUACGAGGGUAUCGUGGUAGACGUACCCUUCGCCUCCUUCUUCCUCAGCCAGGUCAUGGGCCACCAUCACAGCACUUUCUACAGCUCCAUUGACGAGCUGCCCUCCCUGGACUCUGAGUUCUACAAGAACCUCACCUCCAUUAAGCGCUACGACGGGGAUGUUGGUGAUCUAGGACUGACGCUAUCGUAUGACGAGGAUGUUAUGGGACAGCUGGUCUGUCAUGAGCUGAUCCCUGGAGGAAAGACGAUGCCAGUCACCAAUGAAAACAAGAUCAGCUAUAUCCACCUGAUGGCGCACUUCCGCAUGCACACGCAGAUAAAAGAGCAAACGGCAGCUUUCAUCCGAGGGUUCCGCAGCAUCAUCAACCCGGAGUGGCUGCACAUGUUCUCCACCCCCGAGGUCCAGCGCCUCGUCUCCGGGGACAACGCCGAGAUAGACCUGGACGACCUCAAGAAACACACAGUGUACUAUGGAGGUUUCCACAGCAGCCAUCGGGUCAUCAUCUGGCUGUGGGACAUCCUGUCCAGUGACUUCUCAUCUGAGGAAAGGGCCAUGUUCCUCAAGUUUGUCACCAGCUGUUCGAGACCACCCCUCCUGGGUUUUGCCUACCUCAAGCCCCCUUUCUCCAUUCGCUGUGUGGAGGUGUCUGAUGAUCAGGACACGGGGGACACCCUGGGCAGUGUCCUGCGGGGUUUCUUCACCAUCCGGAAGAAGGAGCCUGGCGGCCGCCUCCCCACCUCAUCCACCUGCUUCAACCUGCUCAAGCUGCCUAACUACAGCAAAAAGAGCAUCCUGCGUGACAAGCUUCGCUAUGCCAUCAGUAUGAACACAGGUUUUGAGCUCUCCUAAAACAAACUCCCCCCUGCUCGUGGUCUGCUGCCAGCAAAACUAAAGGAUUAACAACUAAAGAGCAUCCUCCUAGCCCAGGCUAAGGGUGGCAGCCGGUCAAGUCAGUGGAGCUUCACCAAAGCUGAAGGCGAAACAAAUAGGAUACCCCCUUACCUUUAUCCCAGUCUAGGAAACCAGAAGAGCUCCAUCCUCUUUUACCCCAAUCUGUCUGUAUUCUGGAAAGUCCACCCACCCCAAGGGCUUUCAACCCUAUUUGCUGCCUGUGCAACCAUGGUAACUUAUUUUCUGACCAGUGGCAGUCAUUGCCCAUGCUUAACAGAAUGAUACUUGGAUCUAGCACUCCCACGUCAAAGAAACUGGAAAGCAAUAUAGAUGCAAUGCAAGCCAUUACACGCGAUAGACUCCUCACUGGAGAAAAAUCAUAGGAAGCUUUGUUCUACCUGCUGGAAUAGGAUGUUGCCCGAGCAACUGUCCGCUGUCAUUCGGUGAGUCUUAAUAACCUUGUUUAACAUGACGAAAGCACCUUUUUCAUAAAGAGACGACAAAUCACUGCCUCAUGUUCAACGGCAAGUUCUGACCACGGAGAUAUGGUCACGUGUUGGCGCCUGUGUCAUGUCUGUUUAUUGCCCCUCAUGGGUUAAUUAAGGAAUUAAAUCCUGAUGAUCUGUCUCUCUCCCCAUACACACACUACAGUCAGUCACCUGACAACAGCUUUGGAGCCUGUACGUCUCUGUUCUCUAAUGUAUUCAAAUUAGAAUUCAUGUUACACAGCAAUGCAUUUGUGACCCAAAGUGAUGCCAUCAAUACUUAAACCAAACUCCAUGCUGUUAUUUGGUACCAGAUGUCCCGUUAUCUUCUGUCAUGGUUCCGGAGUCUCUUUUCUUGUUGUGUUUGAAAAUGGAUAAUACAGUGGCCCUGCUAUGUUUUUAUAUUAUUUUGCUGUGAAAUAUCUGGGUCCUGUAACUACAGCAGACACAACAUUGACAACCAUUGUUUUUUUCCACUUUGCAUGUCCCUAAUUGUGACACUCCCAAACUAAUCUGUUACAGUGAAGUCAAUCAUGAACAUUUCUCUAUAUCCACUAGGAUUGGCCAUGCCUCUUGGAAUGGAAUCAAGCCAUGAACACAUAGGACAAGGUAUUUAUAAGGACUUGAGCCUGCUUACAGACAAUUGAAUUCCCAUGCUCCCUUUACCGCCACUGAACCGUCCAACCCAGGAAGGUUUGGUGUCAAGCAUGUACUGAUUCUCCCUUGUGUCUGGUAACCUGACAGCCACGUGCAAAAAGGGAUACACAGGGAGCAAACCAUACUAUUUGUCAUGGGCUGGUUGAUCAUGUGAAUCUGAAAGCAUUGCUUUUGUGUCUCUCUCUACCCUCUCCUUUCUUACCUAAUCUCUCUUGCACAUAAAACCCUGCUCUUUUUGUGAGGGGGGGAGGGGCAUUUUUUCUAACGAUCGGAAAUAAUUAUACCAUGCAAAACGUCAAAGGGUCAAAUAAAAAGAGACAAUUUGGGGCAGUUAUUAGUGACGUGUAGUUCCAACGUCAAGGUGGUUGCAGACGAGGCAGCAAAGGGUCCCGAGUUUUAAUAAUGUGAAAGAUUAACAGGCUGAUUUAAAAGCAAUAGCCUAUUUGUUGAUUCAGUAUUUUAUGCAAAACUGUUUCAUGAGGGGUGUGUACAUGUGUGUGCUGAGCGGUUGUCAGAACUAUAGACAUGGCUCUGGUUGUGGUCAUAACAAAAAGGGAAUCAAGCCUGUUUAAGCACCAUUAAUACCUAUCUCUUAUAUAUCCUGGCCACUAGUUAACACAAAAACUCAGUUCUGAUGAUUAUACAGGCAUUUUAUGGGCAUUAAACAAGGUUCUAUAUGGGUUUUGUAUUGCUUUGCUAACUGAAAUCUGUGCUCAAUUUGUCUGUGUGUAGGAAUAUUAAGGGGGUACAACCUACCUGUACAGGCAUUUCCCCCCCAUUUAUAAAUGCCAUCAAUCUCAUUGACAAAUAGAAAUUACAACUUGUCUUAGUGACUCUAUGGGAAGACCUUACCUCAAUGUUCAGUCUGUUGUAAUCACUGCGAUAUAUUUCCUUAAUUCCCAAGAGCCUCUGACUAAUCAGUGCUCAUUCCCUUACAAAAAAAGAUUGCAGUUUUGAAACUGCAGUAACUGCAGUCGACUGGUAUCUUGAACUGCAGUUACACUGCAAAAUUACUGCAGUAAACAAAAGUGUUCUUUUGGACGCAGUAUUUGCAGCAUACUGUAGUUAUACUGCAAUCUGACUGCAUCUUUUUCACUUCAGUGGUGCCAGUCUGACUACAGUUACCCAUUUAUUUCAAUCAAUUGUUUCAUCAGCCUGAAAUAGGUUAGAUAUUAGUCAUGGAAAGGAAAUGGUCAGUGUCCCAGAGAAGACUGGAAAAUUCCUCACAAGCUCUGUCUGGUGUUUUAAUGGGGACACUCCUCCGUUUUAAACGAUGUCAUGAAAUCUCGCUAUAUCUUUUUAUGAAUUAGAAGAAAAAUAAAUCCAGGAAAUGUGCAACAUACUUCUAUGAAAGUACUGUCCCCUCACAAUUUGUUAAGUGUCUUUGGAACUGGUUGCACUAUGUGAAAUGCAGGUAAUUGAAAACACUAUUUCAAUGUAAAACAUGUUUGUGUAAGAUACUAUUUAUUCUGUAAAAACAGUAACAUAAUUGUUAUGUUAACCAUAAUUAUUCUAAAAACUUUACUUCUCAACUGAA